rnacentral:tRNA from 1 species
GCCCCCAUAGCUCAGGGGAUAGAGCAUCGCCCUCCGGAGGCGGGAGCGCAGGUUCGAAUCCUGCUGGGGGCG